rfam:Mesocestoides corti genome assembly, scaffold: MCOS_scaffold0000022
GUUGGCUACGGGGACAUGCAUCCUCAAACAUCGUUGGGAAAAUUUGUUGGAUGCGUUUGCGCUAUAGCCGGAGUUCUUGCAAUUGCUCUACCAGUUCCUGUUAUAGUUUCGAAU